UGGGGAAUUUUGGACAAUGGGCGCAAGCCUGAUCCAGCCAUGCCGCGUGCGGGAAGAAGGCCUUCGGGUUGUAAACCGCUUUUGUCAGGGAAGAAAUCUUCUGAGUUAAUACCUCGGGAGGAUGACGGUACCUGAAGAAUAAGCACCGGCUAACUACGUGCCAGCAGCCGCGGUAAUACGUAGGGUGCAAGCGUUAAUCGGAAUUACUGGGCGUAAGGCGUGCGCAGGCGGUUUUGUAAGACAGAGGUGAAAUCCCCGGGCUCAACCUGGGAACUGCCUUUGUGACUGCAAGGCUUGAGUGCGGCAGAGGGGGGAUGGAAUUCCGCGUGUAGCAGUGAAAUGCGUAGAUAUGCGGAGGGACACCGAUGGCGAAGGCAAUCCCCUGGGCCUGCACUGACGCUCAUGCACGAAAGCGUGGGGAGCAAACAGGAUUAGAUACCCUGGUAGUCCACGCCCUAAACGAUGUCAACUGGUUGUUGGGAAGGUUCCUUCUCAGUAACGUAGCUAACGCGUGAAGUUGACCGCCUGGGGAGUACGGCCGCAAGGUUG
rnacentral:rRNA from 1 species